CCUACGGGAGGCAGCAGUAGGGAAUAUUGCACAAUGGGGGAAACCCUGAUGCAGCGACGCCGCGUGAGUGAGGAAGUCUUUCGGUAUGUAAAGCUCUAUCAGCAGGGAAGAAAAUCACGAUACCUGACUGAGACCCCCCGGCUAACUCCGUGCCAGCAGCCGCGGUAAUACGUAGGGCGCAAGCGUUAUCCGGAUUUACUGGGGGUAAAGGGAGCGUAGACGGCUAAUCAAGUCAGAAGUGAAACCCCAGGGCUCAACCUUGGGAGUGCUUUUGAAACUGAGGAGCUAGAGAGCAGGAGAGGGAAGCGGAAUUCCUAGUGUAGCGGUGAAAUGCGUAGAUAUUAGGAGGAACACCAGUGGCGAAGGCGGCUGACUGGACUGUAACUGACGUUGAGGCACGAAAGCGUGGGGAGCAAACAGGAUUAGAUACCCCAGUAGUC
rnacentral:rRNA from 1 species